rnacentral:tRNA from 1 species
GCGCCGGUGGUGUAAAGCGAGCAACGCUGCCCGGAAGAUGCGGGUUCGAGUCUCGCCUGGCGCA